GGGGGAUAACUACGCGAAAGCGUAGCUAAUACCGCAUACGCCCUACGGGGGAAAGCAGGGGAUCGYAAGACCUUGCACUAUUGGAGCGGCCGAUAUCGGAUUAGCUAGUUGGUGGGGUAACGGCUCACCAAGGCGACGAUCCGUAGCUGGUUUGAGAGGACGACCAGCCACACUGGGACUGAGACACGGCCCAGACUCCUACGGGAGGCAGCAGUGGGGAAUUUUGGACAAUGGGGGAAACCCUGAUCCAGCCAUCCCGCGUGUGCGAUGAAGGCCUUCGGGUUGUAAAGCACUUUUGACAGGAAAGAAACGUCGCGGGUUAAUACCUCGCGGAACUGACGGU
rnacentral:rRNA from 1 species